UGGGGAAUAUUGCACAAUGGGCGAAAGCCUGAUGCAGCAACGCCGCGUGAGUGAUGAAGGCCUUCGGGUUGUAAAGCUCUGUCUUUUGGGACGAUAAUGACGGUACCAAAGGAGGAAGCCACGGCUAACUACGUGCCAGCAGCCGCGGUAAUACGUAGGUGGCAAGCGUUGUCCGGAUUUUACUGGGCGUAAAGGAUGCGUAGGCGGAUUUUUAAGUGAGAUGUGAAAUACCCGGGCUUAACUUGGGUGCUGCAUUUCAAACUGGGAAUCUAGAGUGCGGGAGAGGAGAAUGGAAUUCCUAGUGUAGCGGUGAAAAUGCGUAGAGAUUAGGAAGAACACCAGUGGCGAAGGCGAUUCUCUGGACCGUAACUGACGCUGAGGCAUGAAAGCGUGGGUAGCAAAACAGGAUUAGAUACCCUGGUAGUCCACGCCGUAAACGAUGAGUACUAGGUGUAGGAGGUAUCGACCCCUUCUGUGCCGCAGUUAACACAAUAAGUACUCCGCCUGGGAAGUACGAUCGCAAGAUU
rnacentral:rRNA from 1 species